AAGUCGUAACAAGGUCUCCGUAGGUGAACCUGCGGAGGGAUCAUUACUGAAUGCGAAAGCAUUUUCUUGUCGUUUGUCUUGUUGCUUUGGGGAAACCCAAACAUACUCUUACUAUAGUCGUCUGAUAACAACCUAAUAAUCAAAACUUUCAACAACGGAUCUCUUGGUUCUG
rnacentral:misc_RNA from 1 species